CACUUCUAGGACUGAGGUCCCCCUCCCACGAGCGCGUGGGCCAGUGUGCAAUCCGCGCAGAUCAAUUAACCUCACCCCUGGUGGUGAGCUCCUGUGUUGCCUCCACUCUCAUUUUUUUUCUCUUGUGGUGGCGAGCACACGAGGGCAUGCAAGAUGCCGUCCUCUUCGCCUUUCUCUGCUUCAUUUUUCGAUAGCCUGUCGUACUCGCGACGAGGCGCCGGAAAGAACAGGGGCACACGCUCUCUUGCGCGCCGCUCCCAGGAGCUUGGAGCACAGCUGUGCGGCCGGCUGUCCCAGGUCGCGCUAGAGGUGAGCCCUGCAGCACUCACUUGCAUUGCAACCGCUGCUGCUGACGUCGGUGCGGGUACGCAUGCUAACGGUCCGCCUUUGGUGCCUUCAUUGUCUUCUGCCGCCUUCGCGCCGCUUUCCUUCAUGGCGGAUGUGCACCGUGACCUAUCCGCUCACUACGGCUCUCACGCAGUCCGGCGCGGCCUCGCUAAGCCACUCGGCCCGUGCGUGCAUCCGGUCCUUCGCAAAGGCAAUCUUGCCACUCAGCGCGCAGGAGUCCAUAGCCCCUGGUACAUGCGGGUGUGGCUACUGCGAUUGGUGCGUCGAUGCUGGUGCCCUCGCUGCGGUGUGUGGCUCAGCAGCGGCAGCGCGCCCAAGCUGUCCAAGCUCAAAACAAGCCGAACUACACUCGCCACAGUCAAGGAGUGCCGUGUGCGACGUCAGCUGCGCCCCUCACGUCUCUCCAUCAUACGCAGACGAUUCAUGCUGUGCUGCCUUCGCUGUCUCGACACAGCCCAACGCGCGGCGAAGAGAAACGCAACGCUCUCUCGGAUCGCCACGGGUGGGCAGCAGCAGAACGACAUCGCGGUCAGAAGCACCGUUGAGAACGCUUCACUGUUUACACAGCACGCCGCACGGGAGGCGUGCGCUGCAUGGGUUGAACAAACUUCAGCGGCUGUAUUGGCCGAGGCCCGAGUGCCCCGGCGAAACCGUCGCUGCCGCAGGCGCAGUAAACGACUCCGUCGCGGCAGGAUGGAAGAGACUAGGGCAGAGGCGAACGUGAUUGUGCGCGCUGGCUCUGGCGCCACUGCAGCGGUGCAUCAGCAGAGCAGCUUGGCAUCUCAAGUCACCCAACGGCUGGCUCUCUCGCUGACACGCAGCACGACGCCAUUGCCUGGCGUUGCGGGCGCUGGAAAGGCGACCAAGGCGUCAACAGUGAAGGUGCCAACGACUGUUAGCUUAGCCCACAAGAGUUUGCAGGGCUUGGUGCCAAGUGGCCCACUGAAGAAAAGCGUGCUGCGAGUCUAUGCCAAGGGGGCACCUCCACCAAGCUCAACGAACUUUCGGGUUACCGCCCCUGUCGCUUGCAGCCCCAGUGCGGCAGUCACAAAGCAUGCAGAGGUGGCUUCAUCGACCUUGCGAAUACGGCCACCGUUGCCAUCCCAGUCUAUCAUCGACGAUGCACAUGUGCGGAUCGCCGAUCAGCAAUUGGAGGCGGGGCAAGCGAAAAACACAAAGAUGAUUCGCAAAGCCACGAGCAGCGGGGGUAAGGAGCCCACAACAACGGCCUCUGUCGCAGGCCUGUCGCCAUCACCAACCGACUCGCUGCCGUCUUCAGCUCCUCCUGCUCCACUAGUGCCCUCAGCACCUGCGAAGGCAAUCGCGUCCACGUCGCGCGCAAUGGAUGCUGCAAAGAAGACUGCCCGACCACCUGCCAAGGCUGCAACCCUGACGAAGAAGCCGACCGCAGCAAAGAAGAAAUUCAUGGACACCAUGAGCCAGCUCGGAUUCUGAUGAGGUGCGGAGUUUGUGCGAGCGCUAGAAGCACAGAAAACGCCUUCGCACGGAUCGGUAGGGCAACAGCCGCGGCAGCACUCUCUCUGUGCGUCUCGACGCUGCUUCAGCUUUACACGCCACCACUACAGCCGCUAUUCUCAUGCUGCUGCCUCCUCUGUUGAUCUUACAGUUUUGCUCUCAGGAACCGUUCAUAGCGCACGUGACCUUUUUGCUUCUGUCUCUGCGAUUUCACCGACGACGGAGUGUGGGCGGCACCUCAGUGCGUGGCAUCUCCGGGCCCAGCGCACCUUCCCCCCCCCCACUCUCUCUCGGUCGGAGGAAGCCAUGCACUAUCCCCUCCCCUAUCCCCUGCCAAAUGCCGAGCCACCUCUGGCGCUGGCAGGGCGGUGCAUCGCUGCUGACAGCGGACCGCCAGGCCCUGGGCGGCGUGGCGUCCGGGUGAUCUGCAGCCGCGAACGCGCGUGUGCACUCUCCACAUGAUGGGCAGAGUGUCCGCGUGACUCGAACGCAUCCCACCCAUCCCCCUCUCCCCGCCCCCGGCCCUCGCACGGCCCACUGGUGUGGGGAGGCCUGAGCCGCCCCGAGGAGAGGGGGGUGGGGGUAGGCUGCACCAGGGGGUGGCAGCCGGCACAGCGGGGGAGCGGCUGUGAGGCGACCUGCGAGGCGGUGGGUGAGCGGGUAGAGCUGGAGGGCGGGGGCCGUGCCCCAUAUGACCGAGUCGGCGCAUCUGGUGCGAUGCGUGCGUGUCUGUGGCAUGCGCUGCACCACGCUGGGGGGGAUGGCCUGUGGCAGGGUAGGGAUGGGGCUGGCGUUGAGCUCCUGCUGUGCCGCAGAGCAACGGACACACGUUGAAGAACUACUCUCCGCUGUCUCUAUGUUUGUCCAUUGCGUUGCAGAACUCAGAGCACAGCAGUAAUCACGCCUCUCCAAACGUGUUGCAAAAAUUCUCGCCGAUGGUUCAUGGCGUUUCGCGAGAGACAACAGAAGGGACUCAAAACAGGGCCUCCGGAUAUGUCAUGUAAGCAAGCGAGAGCGUUGAGGCUUCGCUGCCUUGUACUGCAGGCGCCUCCCCUCUCGCUUCUUCUAUCUCCGCCGAUGCGCAUCUUGCGGUUUUUCGCGCUCUAGUCUGCUCGCCGCCCGUCGACUGCGCGCGUGGGCACCGUGGAGGAGGGCGUGCUUUGGUAUGCAUGCUUGUGACUAUGAUUCACGUUGACUUGUGCACUCUUGCCUUCUCUGACGAUCACCUCUGCCGUCUGCGCUGACGUGUGCCCGCACGCCUACUGCCGAUAACUGACAGAGUGCCGCUGGCGUUUUCCCUUUGUCUUUGCUGUGUCGUUCUCCUCGCAUCCCUUCGUGCGUCGUAUCGGCUUUGCAGGAUCUGGGGGUGAUUGGUAGGCAUCCGCCCAUCAAACACGCCUGCCGGCCAUACUCACCGCCUUCUCCCUCUCGUUUUCACUCUGUCUCUCGCUUCGCCCACACAUUCUCAUUGCUGCACCUCGCCCUCCCUCCUCCCGCGUAG
rnacentral:misc_RNA from 1 species